rnacentral:tRNA from 1 species
AAAAUUUUAAGUUAAAUCAAACUAAUAAUUUUCAAAAUUAUAAUUAAACUUGCUAGUUUAAAUUUUA